rnacentral:rRNA from 1 species
AGCCUGAUGCAGCGACGCCGCGUGAGGGAUGACGGCCUUCGGGUUGUAAACCUCUUUCAAUAGGGACGAAGCGCAAGUGACGGUACCUAUAGAAGAAGCACCGGCCAACUACGUGCCAGCAGCCGCGGUAAUACGUAGGGUGCGAGCGUUGUCCGGAAUUACUGGGCGUAAAGAGCUCGUAGGUGGUUUGUCGCGUUGUUCGUGAAAACUCACAGCUCAACUGUGGGCGUGCGGGCGAUACGGGCAGACUGGAGUACUGCAGGGGAGACUGGAAUUCCUGGUGUAGCGGUGGAAUGCGCAGAUAUCAGGAGGAACACCGGUGGCGAAGGCGGGUCUCUGGGCAGUAACUGACGCUGAGGAGCGAAAGCGUGGGGAGCGAACAGGAUUAGAUACCCUGGUAGUCCACGCCGUAAACGGUGGGUACUAGGUGUGGGUUUCCUUCCUUGGGAUCCGUGCCGUAGCUAACGCAUUAAGUACCCCGCCUGGGGAGUACGGCCGCAAGGCUAAAACUCAAAGAAAUUGACGGGGGCCCGCACAAGCGGCGGAGCAUGUGGAUUAAUUCGAUGCAACGCGAAGAACCUUACCUGGGUUUGACAUGCACAGGACGCCGGCAGAGAUGUCGGUUCCCUUGUGG